rnacentral:rRNA from 1 species
GUGCAGCAGUCGAGAAACCUCCGCAAUGCGCGAAAGCGCGACGGGGCCACCCCGAGUGCCGCCCGCUGAGGGCGGCUUUUCCCCGGUGUAGACAGCCGGGGGAAUAAGGGGAGGGCAAGUCUGGUGUCAGCCGCCGCGGUAAUACCAGCUCCCCGAGUGGUGGGGACGAUUAUUGGGCCUAAAGCGUCCGUAGCCGGCCCGGCAAGUCUCCCGUUAAAUCCAGCGAUCUAAUCGCUGGACUGCGGGAGAUACUGUCGGGCUAGGGGGCGGGAGAGGCCGGCGGUAUUCCCGGGGUAGGGGUGAAAUCCUAUAAUCCCGGGAGGACCACCAGUGGCGAAGGCUGCCGGCUGGAACGCGCCCGACGGUGAGGGACGAAAGCCGGGGGAGCGAACCGGAUUAGAUACCCGUGUAGU